UAAAGCAUCCGUAGCCGGCUGUUCAAGUUUCCGGUUAAAUCCACACGCUUAACGUAUGGGCUGCCGGAAAUACUGUUCAGCUAGGGAGUGGGAGGAGUAGACGGUACUCGAUAGGAAGGGGUAAAAUCCUUUGAUCUAUUGAUGACCACCUGUGGCGAAGGCGGUCUACCAGAACACGUUCGACGGUGAGGGAUGAAAGCUGGGGGAGCAAACCGGAUUAGAUACCCGGGUAGUCCCAGCUGUAAACGAUGCAGACUCGGUGAUGCAUUGGCUUGUGGCCAGUGCAGUGCCGCAGGGAAGCCGUUAAGUUUGCCGCCUGGGAAGUACGUACGCAAGUAUGAAACUUAAAGGAAUUGGCGGGGGAGCACCACAAGGAGUGAAGCCUGCGGUUCAAUUGGAGUCAACGCCAGAAAUCUUACCCGGGGAGACAGCAGAAUGAAGGUCAAGCUGAAGACUUUACCAGACAAGCUGAGAGGUGGUGCAUGGCCGUCGCCAGCUCGUGCCGUGAGAUGUCCUGUUAAGUCAGGUAACGAGCGAGACCCUUGCCUCUAGUUGCCACCAUUACCCUCUGGAGUAGUGGGGCGAAUUAGAGGGACCGCCACAGUUAAUGUGGAGGAAGGAGAGGGCCACGGCAGGUCAGUAUGCCCCGAAACCCUGGGGCUACACGCGGGCUGCAAUGGUAGCGACAAUGUGUUUCGAACCCUAAAGGGGGAGGCAAUCAUUAAACGCUACCUCAGUCGUGACUGAGGGCUGCAACUCGCCCUCACGAAUAUGGAAUCCCUAGUAACUGCGCGUCACUACCGCGCGGUGAAUACGUCCCUGCUCCUUGCACACACCGCCCGUCGUUUCAUUGAAGUUGGCUUUUAGCGAGGUGACGUCUUGUUG
rnacentral:rRNA from 1 species